rnacentral:sRNA from 1 species
UCCAGGGUUGAAUUUUAUCUAUGGCGAC